rnacentral:rRNA from 1 species
AUGUCAACCUCGGUCAACAAGGGUGAUGAGGUUGCUACUGAUUCUGAGGAAAUAGUACGUCCAGUGUAUGCGGAUGAUAUUCCGCAAAAUAUUCGGGAUGGUUUUGACCACACAUGCAACUACAUCAAGCAAUGUCAUGAUGCGCUCGGCAAAAGGAUAGAUGUCCUGAUCACUCGGUUCAAUGGUUUGGCAGACAUCAUCAAUAUGCCGGCAACGAAUUCUGCACCACCACAGACUGCUCCGGCUGCUCCACUGCUUUAUGCACCACCGGCUCGUGACGGACAUGCCGGCGUGCUUGAUCGCCGUCUGGCGGCACAACUACAUGCUGGAGGUGAUGGCCUCGAUGACGGUGUUGACCAUGAGGCAACGGGGUACGCGCCACGACCACGACCGCGACACUAUCUUUCAUACUCAUGA